CUGGCUCAGGAUGAACGCUAGCUACAGGCUUAACACAUGCAAGUCGAGGGGCAGCAUAUCGAAAGCUUGCUUUGAUGAUGGCGACCGGCGCACGGGUGAGUAACGCGUAUCCAACCUUCCCUAUACUAGAGGAUAGCCCGGCGAAAGUCGGAUUAAUACUCUAUGUUCUUCGUAGAAGACAUCUGAAAUGAAGCAAAGGUUUACCGGUAUAGGAUGGGGAUGCGUCUGAUUAGGUUGUUGGCGGGGUAACGGCCCACCAAGCCCACGAUCAGUAGGGGUUCUGAGAGGAAGGUCCCCCACAUUGGAACUGAGACACGGUCCAAACUCCUACGGGAGGCAGCAGUGGGGAAUAUUGGUCAAUGGACGAGAGUCUGAACCAGCCAAGUAGCGUGCAGGAUGACGGCCCUAUGGGUUGUAAACUGCUUUUAUACAGGGAUAAAGUGACGUACGUGUACGUUUUUGUAGGUACUGUAUGAAUAAGGACCGGCUAAUUCCGUGCCAGCAGCUGC
rnacentral:rRNA from 1 species